UGGCUCCGGCCGGGAUCGAACCGGAGACUUUCGCGUGUAAUAAAGCGAGUGAUAACCACUACACUACGGAACC